CUACGGGUCGCUCCAGUGAGGAAUUUUGCGCAAUGGGGGAAACCCUGACGCAGCAACGCCGCGUGAGUGAAGAAGGCCUUCGGGUCGUAAAGCUCUGUCAAGUGGGAAAAAAGCCUUCUAGUGAAUAGCUAGAAGGUCUGAUGGUACCACUGGAGGAAGCACCGGCUAACUCCGUGCCAGCAGCCGCGGUAAUACGGAGGGUGCAAGCGUUGUUCGGAAUUACUGGGCGUAAAGAGCGUGUAGGCGGUAAGGUAAGUCAGAUGUGAAAGCCCUGGGCUUAACUCAGGAAGUGCAUUUGAAACUGCUUUGCUAGAGUAUGGGAGAGGAGAGUGGAAUUCCCGGUGUAGAGGUGAAAUUCGUAGAUAUCGGGAGGAACACCCGUGGCGAAGGCGGCUCUCUGGACCAAUACUGACGCUGAGACGCGAAAGCGUGGGGAGCAAACAGGAUUAGAUACCCCUGUAGUC
rnacentral:rRNA from 1 species